CACGUAGGGUGCGAGCGUUGUCCGGAAUUAUUGGGCGUAAAGAGCUUGUAGGCGGUUUGUCGCGUCUGCUGUGAAAUUUCGGGGCUCAACCCCGAACUUGCAGUGGGUACGGGCAGACUAGAGUGUGGUAGGGGAGACUGGAAUUCCUGGUGUAGCGGUGAAAUGCGCAGAUAUCAGGAGGAACACCGAUGGCGAAGGCAGGUCUCUGGGCCACUACUGACACUGAGAAGCGAAAGCAUGGGGAGCGAACAGG
rnacentral:rRNA from 1 species